ACUGAAAUAGCUCAGUUGGUGGAGCGUCAGACUAUAAAUCGAAAGGUCCUUGGUUCGAUCCCCGCUUCCGGCA
rnacentral:tRNA from 1 species